UGGGGAAUUUUUGACAAUGGGGGAAACCCUUAUCCAGCCAUCCCGCGUGUGCGAUGAAGGCCUUCGGGUUGUAAAGCACUUUUGGCAGGAAAGAAACGUCAUGGGUUAAUACCCCGUGAAACUGACGGUACCUGCAGAAUAAGCACCGGCUAACUACGUGCCAGCAGCCGCGGUAAUACGUAGGGUGCAAGCGUUAAUCGGAAUUACUGGGCGUAAAGCGUGCGCAGGCGGUUCGGAAAGAAAGAUGUGAAAUCCCAGAGCUCAACUUUGGAACUGCAUUUUUAACUACCGGGCUAGAGUGUGUCAGAGGGAGGUGGAAUUCCGCGUGUAGCAGUGAAAUGCGUAGAUAUGCGGAGGAACACCGAUGGCGAAGGCAGCCUCCUGGGAUAACACUGACGCUCAUGCACGAAAGCGUGGGGAGCAAACAGG
rnacentral:rRNA from 1 species